rnacentral:rRNA from 1 species
UGCAAGUCGAGCGGAGAAAUGGGAGCUUGCUCCUAUUUCUCAGCGGCGGACGGGUGAGUAACACGUGGGCAACCUGCCCUGCAGACUGGGAUAACUCCGGGAAACCGGAGCUAAUACCGGGUAAUACAUAGCAUCGCAUGAUGCAACGUUGAAAGUUGGCUUUCGAGCUAACACUGUAGGAUGGGCCCGCGGCGCAUUAGCUAGUUGGUAAGGUAAUGGCUUACCAAGGCAACGAUGCGUAGCCGACCUGAGAGGGUGAUCGGCCACACUGGGACUGAGACACGGCCCAGACUCCUACGGGAGGCAGCAGUAGGGAAUCUUCCGCAAUGGACGAAAGUCUGACGGAGCAACGCCGCGUGAGUGACGAAGGCCUUCGGGUCGUAAAGCUCUGUUGUUAGGGAAGAACAAGUACCGUUCGAAUAGGGCGGUACCUUGACGGUACCUAACCAGAAAGCCACGGCUAACUACGUGCCAGCAGCCGCGGUAAUACGUAGGUGGCAAGCGUUGUCCGGAAUUAUUGGGCGUAAAGCGCGCGCAGGCGGUCUCUUAAGUCUGAUGUGAAAGCCCCACGGCUCACCGUGGAGGGCCAUUGGAAACUGGGGGACUUGAGUGCAGAAGAGGAGAGUGGAAUUCCACGUGUAGCGGUGAAAUGCGUAGAUAUGUGGAGGAACACCAGUGGCGAAGGCGGCUCUCUGGUCUGUAACUGACGCUGAGGCGCGAAAGCGUGGGGAGCGAACAGGAUUAGAUACCCUGGUAGUCCACGCCGUAUACGAUGAGUGCUAGGUGUUGGGGGGUUUCCCCCUCAGUGCUGAAGUUCACCACAUUACG